rnacentral:rRNA from 1 species
ACGAAGGUGGCAAGCGUUGUUCGGAAUUACUGGGCGUAAAGGGCGCGUAGGCGGCCUCGUAAGUGGUGUGUGAAAUGUCCUGGCUCAACCAGGGAAUUGCGCUCCAAACUGCGGGGCUUGAGGGCAGUAGAGGAAGCUGGAAUUCCAGGUGUAGCGGUGAAAUGCGUAGAUAUCUGGAGGAACACCAUUGGCGAAGGCGAGCUUCUGGGCUGUCCCUGACGCUGAUGCGCGAAAGCUGGGGGAGCAAACAGGA